rnacentral:rRNA from 1 species
UACGUAGGCAGCGAGCGUUUGUUCGGAGUUACUGGGCGUAAAGGGUGUGUAGGCGGUUGUUUAAGUUUGGUGUGAAAUCUCCCGGCUCAACUGGGAGGGUGCGCCGAAUACUGAAUGACUUCGAGUACGGGAGAGGUGAGUGGAAUUCCUGGUGUAGCGGUGAAAUGCGUAGAUAUCAGGAGGAACACCGGUGGUGUAGACGGCUCACUGGACCGUAACUGACGCUGAGACACGAAAGCGUGGGUAGCAAACAGG